CUGAGACACGGCCCAGACUCCUACGGGAGGCAGCAGUAGGGAAUCUUCGGCAAUGGACGGAAGUCUGACCGAGCAACGCCGCGUGAGUGAAGAAGGUUUUCGGAUCGUAAAGCUCUGUUGUAAGAGAAGAACGAGUGUGAGAGUGGAAAGUUCACACUGUGACGGUAUCUUACCAGAAAGGGACGGCUAACUACGUGCCAGCAGCCGCGGUAAUACGUAGGUCCCGAGCGUUGUCCGGAUUUAUUGGGCGUAAAGCGAGCGCAGGCGGUUAGAUAAGUCUGAAGUUAAAGGCUGUGGCUUAACCAUAGUACGCUUUGGAAACUGUUUAACUUGAGUGCAAGAGGGGAGAGUGGAAUUCCAUGUGUAGCGGUGAAAUGCGUAGAUAUAUGGAGGAACACCGGUGGCGAAAGCGGCUCUCUGGCUUGUAACUGACGCUGAGGCUCGAAAGCGUGGGGAGCAAACAGGAUUAGAUACCCUGGUAGUCCACGCCGUAAACGAUGAGUGCUAGGUGUUAGACCCUUUCCGGGGUUUAGUGCCGUAGCUAACG
rnacentral:rRNA from 1 species